GGCGGCCGGCUGCGGCGACGGCGGCUUGGAUGGGUCGCCUUCCUCCCUUGCUGCUCGGAUGAACCCUCGCCGCAUGCAUCGCGAUCUUGAUAUUCUUGGCAUGGAAUUAAUAGCGUCUCUUUUUUAUCCCCCUUACGGUUCUUGAUCUCCAGCGCUUCUCUGAAUUCUCUGGUUCUUCUUGCUCGCUCAAUUUACUUGUUUUGUUUUCUCGAUUGAUUGGUUGCCUGAUCAGCUGUGCUGUGGAUGCAUGCGAUGUUGCAAAACCGAGCGCGCUGUUGAUUAAUCUUAUCUC
rnacentral:pre_miRNA from 1 species